GCAAGUCGAGCGAGAUCCAUCCGGUAGCAAUACUGGUGAAGAUCUAGCGGCGAACGGGUGAGUAACACGUGAGAAACCUGCCCCGAAGACCGGGAUAACCCGAGGAAACUCGGGCUAAUACCGGAUGUCCUCACCUGGUCUCAUGUCCGGGUGCGGAAAGGCUCCGGCGCUUUGGGAGGGUCUCGCGGCCUAUCAGCUAGUUGGUGAGGUAACGGCUCACCAAGGCAUCGACGGGUAGCUGGUCUGAGAGGACGAUC
rnacentral:rRNA from 1 species